UACGUAGGGUCCGAGCGUUGUCCGGAAUUACUGGGCGUAAAGAGCUCGUAGGUGGUUUGUCGCGUUGUUCGUGAAAACUCACAGCUCAGCUGUGGGCGUGCGGGCGAUACGGGCAGACUUGGAGUACUGCAGGGGAGACUGGAAUUCCUGGUGUAGCGGUGGAAUGCGCAGAUAUCAGGAGGAACACCGAUGGCGAAGGCAGGUCUCUGGGCCGCAACUGACGCUGAGGAGCGAAAGCAUGGGGAGCGAACAGG
rnacentral:rRNA from 1 species